AGUCCAGCUCCAGCUAGUGGCAGAUCCGGUAAGAAGUUCGUGCUUUCUUCUUCUUUCGAGAAAAGAUGCGAUUUUUGGUGGGUGAUGCUAGUUUCUUGCUCAAGUAUGUGAAGUCACUGAAGUGUAUGCAUGGUCUUGGAGCUUGGAACGCACUCGAUUACACGAAGGAAUCAUAUUUGUUUCUUUUUUUUCCGUCAAACGAGAACGGUAGGAUCUUUCCUGAAACUGUUUGAUGCACAAAAAAGCUUUGCCUUUUUUCUUUGUUUAGGGGAAAGCAAGCCUCUUUAGCAUCAAUGACGUGUAAAUCCAUGCUCGUGAUUCAAUUCCAUAGCCUAUGGGUUUUGUUAAAGAGGUCACAUAUGAGAGAUUUGGAGUCAGUUCUCUCGCUUCUCACGAACUGGAAAGAAGUCUACAUGAACUACUGUCGGACGAGGCAACAGGAAGAGAGAUGCGAGAGCUGGAGAAAGAAACCGAGGUCUCUUUUAGAAAGGCGCUGCCUUUUCUGCUAGUGUUCUUGAAUCAUACAGAACAUGACUGACCCUGUUCUUCCUCCUCUGUUUUCUGAUCAUUUUUCUCGAGCUUUCUCGCUCUUUCUCAGUUUCCAAACACUCGUGUUAUCAGAAUCGGGAUCCUAGUAGAACACAGCCCGAACUCUUAUGUUUCUGGGUCCAGACGAAAUCUCUAAAAGAAAAUAAAUUGUUGUGUUCAGUUUUUAAAGUUCUUGAUGGUUCAUUAGCCCCUGUGUCAAUUUUAAGCUUUAAAAAAGGAUGGAACAUGUUAAAGUUUAUGAAUUGACCUGUUUCCAAGCAGACCCUCACUCCCAGUCAUGACCAAAAAAAAAAAAUCUUCCGCAUUCCAAAAAAA